rnacentral:tRNA from 1 species
GCCGACGUAGCUCAGUUGGUAGAGCACCUCUCUCGUAAAGAGGAUGUCGCCGGUUCGAGUCCGGCCGUCGGCU